rnacentral:lncRNA from 1 species
GACCGGAAGUGACGUAGAAAGGAAGCUCGCAGGGCCUGGAGCGGUCUCUCUACUUUGGGAUUUUUUGUCUCUGCAGGUGGAGCCUGAAUCUCCGGAGAUUUUCUGGCGGGUUUCCAGCGGGAAGUCCUUUCUAGAAAUCAUAAACGCUCCACAGCUGGCGAGCGAAGUAAUCUGGUGAGGAGCCAUGCGUGAGUGUGCCCACUCCUGACGUGCAACCGCUCCAGUUUUUUCGGGUGUUCUUGGUGGGCCUGAGAUCAACUUCUCGCGCUCCUUGUCCUUUUCUCCCUCAUGCUCAGGGUCAGUUUAUGGCUUCCUCCUGUGCUGAGGCAACGCCUCCAUGUUUUACUUCUGAGGAACUCUCCUCUUGGAUAAGAGACUGGGAAACGGACUGACUUAUUACAGAGGAUUUGGGGAACUGUUCUAAUGGGCUGCUCUCAAGAAACAGUAAUCACGUCACUUCUAAUGGAAAUACUGCUUAUAAGAAAGGUUUGCUAGGUAAAAUUAUCUCAUAGAAGAUUCUUAGUGAAUGAAGUCCAUGUUUGUAACCCAACUGUGACAGAAGACUGUUUCUUUAAAUUCUAUCCCUGUGGUUCUGUGACUGCAUCGUGGGACCCUAAUCUAGUCAAGGAGAAAGAAAAAAACCGGUUGUUGUAAUGAGUCCUGGAUACAUAAUAUGCCCUGGAAUUCACAAGUUUCCUGAGAGAGGACACUUCAAUGUUUGGUGCAUAUAGUUAAUGUUUUUUUAACAGUGAACAUAAUGUUCAAACCUAUAACCCAUUCGACUCUAUUAUAAACAAUGCACGAAACAUUGUUUUUACAUGAAAAUUAUAAAAUGUAAGCUCUAAAACAGAACUCCCUACAGGAAGUAGACAACUGAAAGAUGAAGGGUUUUUUUUUUGUUUGUUUGUUUUAUAUAUGUAUUUAUUGUGGGGGCACUUGUGUGCCAGUGCUGGGAUGACAACUUGAAAGUUCAUUUUCUCCAUCAAUCUUGUCACUCUUGAGGUGGAACUCAGGUUGUGAGACUUGGGAAGGGACAUUAUGUCUGUGUACAGAAAAGCACCUAGUUAUGUGAUUUAAUUUUUUCUGCUGCUCGUGAUAGUUCUUGAUUUUCUAUAUAGUAAAUAAUGAGAAGC